UACGAAGGGUGCAAGCGUUAAUCGGAAUUACUGGGCGUAAAGCGUGCGUAGGCGGUUCGUUAAGUCUGUCGUGAAAGCCCUGGGCUCAACCUGGGAAUGGCGAUGGAUACUGGCGAGCUAGAGUCAGGUAGAGGGUGGCGGAAUUCCCGGUGUAGCGGUGAAAUGCGUAGAGAUCGGGAGGAACAUCUGUGGCGAAGGCGGCCACCCGGACCAUGACUGACGCUGAGGCACGAAAGCGUGGGGAGCAAAC
rnacentral:rRNA from 1 species